AACCUCCGCAGUCCAGACUUGUACCGGAGCCGGAGGAGUAAUGAGGUAUCUAGAGAUGUGAGUCCAGCGGGCUGCUUGUGUUUCUGUUCCUCACAGGACAUCAUAUGACCCGCAGAUCCCGUGUGAACGCUCUACGUUAGUCAGUGGACGUCCGACAAGAAGCCCAAUCAUUUAUAAUGAUUGGUUUAAAUUGGUUAUUAUGAUUGGUUAUUGGUUUAAACUGCGUGAAUAAAAUAGCUAGAGAGCUAAAGUACAUUUCGUUCAUCCAAAGGCACACGGAUAACCUUGUGCUUUUAAGGCUUAUGUAACAAACUGUAUAUAUAUAUAUAUAAAGGAUUUUGUAGUAUCAAUCGGCGAGAUGCGACCAGCAGCGUGCAGAAGCUCUUCAUGCCGAGCACAUGGCAACUGUAAUGGCGGGAUGAGCACAUGGUUUCUCAAGAUGUUGGAGACUCUCUCUUAGCUCGUCCACACACUGAUGGAAGGAGUUGCUGGGACAUAUCCGCAUCUCAACCACAAACCUGGAUGCUGACUCCAAGGCUGGAGCUCUACUGAGGAUCUACAACGAGUCCCAGCGUGGAGUUUACUACGCCACAUCUGCAACCACACAAACCUGGAUGCUGACUCCAAGGCUGGAGUUCUAAUGAGGGUGUGACUGAAGGAUCUGGAUCUGGAGGACGUGCAGACGCAUGAAAAGCCGGGUGGAACAGUUCUACUGGGCUCUGCAGGGGCAUGGAGUGAAACUCUGACUCUCCUGUCCUCCGUCUUGUUCUACAAGGCUAUUCAUCUCAACUGUUCACUACAUUGACAUGAAUUUGUAUUUGAAGAAUUUUCAAAUAAAUGUUUGACAAAGAAUGGA